UACGAAGGGGGCUAGCGUUGCUCGGAAUGACUGGGCGUAAAGGGCGCGUAGGCGGUUCGUACAGUCAGACGUGAAAUUCCCGGGCUCAACCUGGGGGCUGCGUUUGAUACGUACGGGCUUGAGUUCGGAAGAGGGUCGUGGAAUUCCCAGUGUAGAGGUGAAAUCGUAGAUAUUGGGAAGAACACCGGUGGCGAAGGCGGCGACCUGGUCCGGAUACUGACGCUGAGGCGCGGAAAGCGUGGGGAGCAAACAGGAUUAGAAACCCGGGUAGUCCAAGACCCAAAGGUCCUUCCUUGGCCUUAAGCCCCGGAUUCGAAAAUUCCCAACCCCUGG
rnacentral:rRNA from 1 species